UCAUUGCAAAAUCCUUUAUUUUAUUCAGUAUGUAUCUUCAGUCGUUGUGACUGUAGAUAAUCUUUAGUGUGACUUCUGGUGUCCAGCCAUACACACACGUUCACGUACAUACACACAAAACCUUUCCACAGAGAGACACACACGUCUCCUGCAGCAGGAAGAGGAUUAAUAUCAGUAGCACAUGACAACAAUAGUGUGUUAUGCAAAGAUUGGGUUGUAAUACAGUCUUUGUUGGGACUUUAAAGCCACAGCCACAUCACAUCACUACUCAUCCUGCUAGCCAAUUUGCCUGUCGGCAUGGCAACCGCCCCAGGCUGAAGCCAGAAGCAAGACCGGAAUCUCAAUGCCAGCCUGAUCGGAGAGAGAGAGAGAACACACACAGACAGAAUGUUCUAGUGGAGAGAAAAGUUCACAAGUGGCCAAAGUGACCCGGCACUGUCCAAGCCAAGAUCUCAGAAAUAGGGGUUGGAGUUGGUAAAGUCUGAUAUUUUCCUCAGGCUAAAUGAGUCAGUCAGUCAUUCAUGACAAGAACAAAAACAUAAAUUCCAUAUGUUUCGAACAUUCAGCAAAUUCAAACAUUUCCUCACAAGACACCAUCUGGAUGUGGCCAACCAGUUGCUGCCUGGUGUGACUGAGUAUAUGUAUGCACUGUAGUGGUGGUGUGUGCUGGUUGGGAGGGAGUGUGUGUGGAGUUAUCCUGCAGGUUGCGGAGUGUGUUGGGUCAGUGCGGAGCGGUCAGCAGCUGCUGCCUGGCCUGCGUUCCACGAUUCCCAGGCUAGAGGAGGUACUGGAGGGAGGGAUGGAUGGAGGAGGGGACUGACAGGGCCCGUAAUAAAAUCAGGCGCCGUGGUUGGACUGUGUGCGGCCCAUUGUUCCUUGGACGGAGCCCGAGGCUGCUGUUUACUUUCUCCCAUAUGCAUUAUUCAACAGCACAGGAGCUCCCAGAGAAAGGGGCCCCAUUCAGGGAUCCUCUUGCCCUUGUUUUGUUUUGCUAAUUUUCAAUUGAAAUAAACCAUCUCUCGCCAGGGCCAGGCUGAGCGGGGGAGAGGGACAGGGGAUGGGGGGACGGCGAGUCCAGACCCUUUAACAUUGAGGCGUCUGAGAAGAUUAGACUGGUGAGGAUAAAAUGCUACUUACCAUCUACUAUGGCCGAGGCAGUAUAUGUUUUUUACAGUGGGGUUUAAGGCAGACAAUGAGACAGGACGUUGUGUUCGGUUGAGAGCAUAUGCUGACCUCUUCUUUUCUGUUGUUGUUGUCCCACAAACAUGACCCACUUAUCAUUGUCCAAAUGUUUGUUUAUCUGCUUGAUCUAUGUCAACAUAUUCAAAUAUGCUCAUAGUUCUGCACUGUAGAUCAACAUGCACAUUUUUGCAUUGAUCCGCUAGGCUACAGAUGUUCUGUUUAAAUUGUCCUACUGUGUGAGACACAGGGUUCCCAUGUGCCCAGUGAAAUUUUGAACAAAUCACAAAGACAAAGCCUUGUCAAUAAUGAGUCCCAGAGGUCAUUAAAUGAAGCUAGCCAGUGCAGGCUGGACUAAUCAAUAAGUCCACUGAACUCAUUUUUGUUGUCCUGCAUUUACACAGGAGGGGGCUGAGCCAAGGGGAACUGAGGAGGGGACAGAUGCGGUGACACUGGGGAGUGAGGAGCUGUGAGGAGAGCUAAAGAUUCACCACACAUCUGUCACUCCAACAGGGAAGGCAGAAGCUACCCAGGGUGGGUCUGCCCUCGCUGACAGCUUGCCUCCCUGACUGCCUGGCUCCAUGACUCCAUGCCUACCUGUCUCUGUCUGUCGCUUAGCCCAUCUGCCACCUUGCCUGCCUCCUGUCUCCAAUCCUGACCCUCUGUCAGUUAGUCUGUCUGUAUGUCCCAUUCCCUGUCAGACUCCUGAUCAACCUGUUACCUAACCAUGUUCUCCCUCCAACAAGUGCCUCUUAAAAAUACAUUCAGAAUUGGCACUUUUCACAAGGAUCCCACCACUCUCACUCUCCCAGUAACUAGAGUCUGCAGAUCAUACUGUAAUUACAGCUUUUAGCAGCAACCUGUUGCAGCCUGCUCUGCCCUGCACUGUCAACAUCCGUGUUAACUGCACUGAACUCUUCACCAGUAUAGCUGUGUUCUAGCACUAACCGCUAAUAAGGAUCCCAGGCCAUCCAAAACAAGGAAGGAUUCUCCACUUAUUUGACAGUGCCCCUGUUCCCUAUUAGUGGUGUUAGUGAGAGGAGGCUGAAUGUAGAGGCCCUCUUGGGUUGGCUGGAUAGAGGCUGUUCCCUGCUGGGUGCAGGUGAGCUCUCAAUGCUUCCCCUCGCAUCUGUCCUCUUUUAUCCCCGACUGGUGGCUUUAUGGCGCGAGGUGAAGGGAUCCAUCCGUCUGUCUCUCGUAAAGCUAGCAGCUCGGCGCUGCUCUGUAGAGGCCCAGUAAAGCCCACACUGCUGCCAGGGCAUUGUGUGGGGUCCGGGGCCCCCGAGUGACCCAGUCAACCAGAGAGAGAGAGAAAGAGAGAGAGACCCUGUCAGCAUCCACCUCCCCAUACACACACACACACACACGCAUUCACACACACACUCAUUCACACACACACGGCAUGCAUGAAGGCACACACGCUGACACACACACACACACACACGCACACACACACACACACACACACACACUAUACCCAUGAUCCUUAGCCACCCAAUGGAUCUGAUACCUCCCGGUGUCUGGUUUCAAAGUGCUAACGACUUGUUCUCUUCUUCCACUCUGCUAUCUUAGGUUUCAUGUUUCUGACGCUCCUCUCUCUCUCCGCACUUCUGAAAAACACUGUCAAAAAGUAGAACUUUACAUAUCAGAUUAGAGUCAAUGGAAUUUAAGAGAUAUACUUUGUACAUGUAUCAAAUCAACAUCUGACACAAACAAAUAUGGAUUUCCAUGUAACGCCAUGGUAAAUAGUAAUACUAACUCCAUAAGCAGAGAGGGCUGUGUCUGUCGGCUAAAAGCUGCACCCUGAGGGGGCUGACUGAGAAACAGCCCUCUCUGCCCAAUAGAACAGCUCAAUGGCCAUAGGAGGUCAAUGAUUGCACAGAAAUAAGCAGCACAUUAAAGUUCAAUUGAUAGGAUUUUCCUAGAUAUGAAAUGUUACUGAUAAGCUCAAGCAAAUGAUGUGUCUGAAAGGAGGUCCACACGCAGCUUGCUGUUUGAGAUUUACUAAGGCUUUGAGUGGGGGCAUCUUCAAAACCAAUUAUCAGACAAGAAAUAGAUAAUUUCUUCUCUGAGGAUUGGGUUGGGGAGGUGGGGGGCAAAAGACUGUUGGUAAAAGGAAGGAGGGUUUUUCUCAGAUUGGGGGGCACAAUAAAGACAUAAUCAUCUCCCCUCAACUUUUCCUAUCCAACUUUCAGAUUUUAAUUUGCCGUCUGUGAAGUGGUACCUAAUUUACUUUCGCCUCAUCCCUUCAAUGCGCCAUUGUUGCUGCCGCUGAGACUCGGAGCUUCCUCUCGUAGCUCACCUCGGCGUGAAAUUGGUUUAAUGAAGCUGAAAGGUAUGGGCUCUCACAACACUGUGGAUUCCAGCCGUACUGCUUUAUCCUCCCCUCUCUCCCGCUCUCCCCACUCACUCACAUUACGGUGACAAUUUAUAACGCUGUGCACAAAAGAUCUCUAUCUCACUCAUUACAUCAGUGGAUAUUACUGUCCCCUUUGAGAGGAGCCAACUCUUAGGCAAACACGAUGGGGGGGGGGCACCACAAAUUAACAGCAGAUACGAAUAUUCAAAUGGGUCCGAUAUGUUGCAGCAGCCCUAACUUUAGAGAGAAAGUGAGAACGAAAAGGUGGAUUAGAGAGAGAGAGACACACACAGAAGGAGGAUAGCAGGUGUGGAUAGGUGAAACUAAUCUGUGUGCACCUUUCUGCCUUCCUGUUUUUCCCACCUCUUCCAAUCUGACCCUGUGAAAGGUGUUCUCCUGUUACCACUACUCCUGGGUGUGGCUUGGAAUGGAAGUCCUGUGGGAUUACUGUGUGUGUUACAUAAAUAUCAUCCCCCGUAGUCAUACCGCUUACUUCUUCGAGUCCCCUUUUGGGACAAUCCAGUGGAAAUGCAUCGGUAACCGAAUCCACUUCUGGUUGGAGGCCCAGGUGGAGUUUGGUAUUUGGUGAAGAAAGUAAAAAAGAGGAAGAGAAAGUAGGCUAGUGGAGUGCAGGGACGCUGCAGCAUAUAACUCUGUGGGUUUGCUGUAAUGGUGCUGUAAUGGUGCUGUAAUGGUGCUUAAAUGGCUUCCCAUGCCAGAGGUGUGACUGAGCCUGAUCUGUUUGGUAAAUGUGUGUAUGUGUGCUGUUUGGUAAAUGUGUGUGUGUGUGUGUGUGUGUGUGUGUGUGUGUGUCCCUUCAACUGAGAGCCUAACGAAAGCAGGAAGGGGAGUAGAGUGACUUACAAAAGUCUCUUUACUCCGUAAUGACAUGCACAUUAUGUUGAACUACUUUCACAACCUCAAUGGCCACUGUAACUAAAAAAGAAUGACCACUUUCUCUGUCUGUGGCCAAGAGCACGCAUUGUUGUUUGUCUUUGGAAUACCAACGCGGGUGAGGCUGCUAGCUAUAUGAAGUGUGCCCGACAACUUUCCUUUCAGGGUGCGAUUUUGAAACUCACAAAAGAAAUGUCAAAUUAUCGUCAAACUUUUUUUUUUCAAUUGUGAAGCCAAACAAUCAUCUUUUUCUCAGGGGAAAAUGAGUUGUAAACACUUUCUUGUUACUGAUUGCCCCAUCUCUGAGGCCUGUUUAGUGAAUAGCAUAAGGACAGUUAAGCAUUUUUAAAGCCGCUAACACACACACACACAUUUAGGGAAGCGUUGAGGUGCUGCUGCUAAACUGCAGUGUUUAACCUCAUGAGGUGAUGAAACCUGAUCUGCAGUGGAACCCGGGCAGGUAAGAUUAGUUGUACUGAGCCAUGGGAGUGCUAUCUUUUACACCUAAUUACUCAAUUAUCAGUAAACACUGUCGUAGAAGACACAAUGCCAGAGGAGAAAUCACACACAUUGCAAACGGACUCAAUUCAACACCACUAGUUCAUGCCUAUAGUUGCUUACACAGCGUGGCUCUGUCAGACUACAGAAUAUCAUCAGAAAGGCUUUACAGGGAAUUUUUUUUGGCUCUUGUUACAAGGAAUGUUAAUGAUAUGAAUGAACUAAAAGAAGAUAACAGAACAUUUAUUUUGGUCGUAGUAUCGUGGUAUGCACUAAUGAAUACAAUUUUGAUGUUCGGGAAGACUAUUUUUUGGAUAAUAUUAGCUAUUGAAAACAUUGGAUAUUGAUAACAUUGGCCGUUGAUAACAUUGGCUAUUGUAAUACAGUUCAAAGCUGAGCUUGAACAUGUAGUUUGUCCCCUCCAAAGAUGGGAAUCAGCCUGCGAGAUUGAAUAACAAGCAAACAUUUGAUAAUAACAAAAAUAUCAAAGAUUGUAAAACAACUACACACAUGAAAAUGUAGAUCCUCUCUCUCCUUCAAAAUAUCAUAACAUCCAUCCUGCAGUACUUCUUCCUUCCACUGAUGGGGGCUGGUGUACAUGGCUGACAGAUUUCCCUCAGGUCCCCUCUGUCUUUUCCUUGGCCUUGUUUGAACAGUGUUGGGAGCAAACUGUGAUUUUACGAGUUUGUUUAAAGACAAGGGUUGACUAAGGUGAAGACACAGACAGUCAGGUAGACAAGUAGAGAGGGUAGAUUGACGAAGCUGGGCGUUCAGUUACGCUGAGAAAAGCUGAAAGGAUGAGCAAAACCCCCGAGUCCCCAGAAAAAUGCACUAAUAUCAAAUCAACAAUCAACAGAGCACACAAGUGUGUCUCCGACUCGCACCUCUUUUGGUCCUCUCUAAACGUUUAACAAAGAUUGUUAGUGUGGAUAAGAUCUGAGACUAACUCAUCCGUAUCGAACACUGUCAUAGGGCUUGAUUGGUGAGUAGACUUAAGUCAGUGCGUUUUCCUUCUGGAUGGAGUCUUUCUAUAUAGAACAGGACAGAGACACAGUGGACCUACGUAAGCCAGUGUAACGAAUGGGCUGUGAAACCACACACAGAGAGACACACACACAUAUUCA
ensembl:lncRNA